rnacentral:rRNA from 1 species
UACGUAGGGGGCAAGCGUUGUCCGGAAUCAUUGGGCGUAAAGAGCGUGUAGGCGGCCCGGUAAGUCGGUUGUGAAAGCCCAGGGCUCAACCCUGGGAUGCCGACCGAUACUGUCGGACUAGAGUUCGGAAGAGGCGAGUGGAAUUCCCGGUGUAGCGGUGAAAUGCGCAGAUAUCGGGAGGAACACCUAUGGCGAAGGCAGCUCGCUGGGACGUUACUGACGCUGAGACGCGAAAGCGUGGGGAGCAAACAGG